GGGAGGUCUUUUGUGGCACUGCUUCCUCCCUAGCUGUGAGACUCCAGCUACUUCACUAUGAGACUUCUGGCCCUUUCCGGUCUGCUCUGCAUGCUGCUCCUCUGUUUCUGCAUUCUCUCCUCAGAAGGGAGAAGGCAUUCUGCCAAGUCCUCAAAAUUCAGGUCCUGCUGUUACCUCUCUUCUAAAGCCCGAAAAGGCUGUGGCACUAGAAGCCCAUGAGCAGUUACCAAGAGUCCUGUCUUCCCAGAGGAAAUGUUGAUGUAAAUGAAUUGGGGAGCAAAAUGAGGAAGACAGGAUAGCUCCAACCUCAGUACCCCUGAAAGGUUGACAGCCCCUCCUCCACACUGCCAUCACACCCUGUCAGGGCUGGUGUAUGUUUCAAAAGUUCCAUGGCAGAACUCGUGAGCAACUUAGAACAAGAAGACUGAAGAAACCUCACAAGGCCCUGCAGACCAUGUAGAAGCAAGCUACCAGACAAGUCCUGGAUGGUGCCUGGGGCUCUCCCACAGAUAUAGGGAGAGGCCUGGCACCACCCAGAUGAAGCGUUGAUGCCCGGAUGUGAGGACAACCUUCUGACCCCCACCAACCUUCACGGCCAGUGAGCUGUGACAGCAGAAUGCUUCACUUCAGACAGCCGGGAGGAUUGCAGAAUUCCAAGUCCUCAUUCCAAAGGUGCCACCGACCUUCAGAGUCACUAAGAUCCAGGCUCACGCCACAAGUCUUCAUGGCUCCUCCUCCAGGGUAAAAGUCCAAGAUUCCACCUGUGGGAGCUACAGAUCCAGAGCUUCCCAAACUGACUCAGCGUACCGAGACCUCGGUGUGAUCAGCAGAGACUACCGCAUCUCAGGAACCCUCAGACAGCCCCAAACCCCUAGCAUUUAACCAAGGGUCUCUGAACCAACUCCUGUAACUUCCUAAUGUAAUCACCAGAAGACUAUCAAAAAUAAUAAAUCAUAAAUCAGCAUACACACUA